AUGGGGUGUGUCAGUACAAAAUGUCAGCUAAGUUAUAUAAAUACUGUUCGAAUGGUGAGCCAGACAAGGUGAUCAAGUUGAUUCAUGAAAGGACAAACUUAAAUUUAAACUGGAAGCACACUGGAAAAUUCUAUCGUACACCAUUGGUUAUUGCCAGUCAUAAAGGACACACAGAGAUAGUGAAGAUUCUUCUUCAAAAUGAUGCACUGAGAACACCUAGAGA